GCCUGGCCCUAAAUCUUGACGCUCGAUAUUACCUGAGCGUCCGCCCGAGAACUACGAGCACAAACGCUUAACACUCUAAGGACUUGGCGGUGCUCCAAACCCACCUAGAGGAGCCUGUUCUGUAAUCGAUGAUCCCCGAUAUUACCUGACCAUUCCUUGCACGAAGCAGCCUAUAUACCGCCGUCGCCAGCCCACCUCUCCUGAUAGCCCAACAGUGGACGCAAUAGCCUAACCCGCUAGCAAGACAGGUCAAGGUAUAGCCUACGGAAUGGAAGCAAUGGGCUACAUUUUCUAGACUAGAACAUACGGAUAAGGGUAUGAAACUGCCCUUGGAAGGCGGAUUUAGCAGUAAAGAGAGACAAUUGAGCCCUCUUUAAGCCGGCUCUGGAGCACGU
rnacentral:rRNA from 1 species